rnacentral:rRNA from 1 species
CUCGACUACAUGAAGCUGGAAUCGCUAGUAAUCGUAGAUCAGCAUGCUACGGUGAAUACGUUCCCGGGUCUUGUACACACCGCCCGUCACACCACGAGAGUUUGUAACACCCGAAGCCGGUGGAGUAACCUUUUAGGAGCUAGCCGUCGAAGGUGGGACAAAUGAUUGGGGUGAAGUCGUAACAAGGUAGCCGUAUCGGAAGGUGCGGCUGGAUCACCUCCUUUCUAAGGA